rnacentral:rRNA from 1 species
AUUGAACGCUGGCGGCAGGCCUAACACAUGCAAGUCGAACGAGUGGCGGACGGGUGAGUAAUGUCUGGGAAACUGCCUGAUGGAGGGGGAUAACUACUGGAAACGGUAGCUAAUACCGCAUACCAUCAGAUGUGCCCAGAGGGGAUUAGCUAGUAGGUGGGGUAAUGGCUAACCUAGGCGACGAUCCCUAGCUGGUCUGAGAGGGUGACCAGCCACACUGGAACUGAGACACGGUCCAGACUCCUACGGGAGGAAGCAGUGGGGAAUAUUGCACAAUGGGCGCAAGCCUGAUGCAGCCAUGCCGCGUGUGUGAAGAAGGCUUUCGGGUUGUAAAGCACUUUCAGCGAGGAGGCGUUACUCGCAGAAGAAGCACCGGCUAACUCCGUGCCAGCAGCCGCGGUAAUAC